UGGCUCAGAUGGUAAAGCAUCUGUCUACAAUGCAGGAGAUCCGGGUUCGAUCCCUGG
rnacentral:tRNA from 1 species